UAAGAGGAAUGCCGAAAGUUGA
rnacentral:piRNA from 1 species